rnacentral:rRNA from 1 species
UACAGAGGUCUCAAGCGUUGUUCGGAUUCAUUGGGCGUAAAGGGAGCGUAGGUGGCGGGGUUAGUCAGGUGUGAAAUCUCGGGGCUCAACCCCGAAACUGCACUUGAUACUGCCUUGCUAGAGUACUGGAGAGGAGAUUGGAAUUUACGGUGUAGCAGUGAAAUGCGUAGAUAUCGUAAGGAAGACCAGUGGCGAAGGCGAAUCUCUGGACAGUUACUGACGCUGAGGCACGAAGGCCAGGGGAGCAAACGGG